CACCUGUAUAUAAUCACAAUUCAGCUCAACAACUGGCAAACAUUAAAUGAUCAUUUAAAUACACAGUAUAGUUACAAAGCAGUCAAGGUGUUUUAACAAUGAUGUCAAAAAGCAUUUGUCUGUUCAUUAUUGUAGUGAUUUUAACUCAAGGUAUCAGUGGUGAUGAAAUCCGGUUGGAUCAGUCAUCUGCUGAGAUAAAGAGACCUGGAGAAACAGUGAAGAUCUCCUGUAAAAUAUCUGGUUUUACAAUGACAAGCUACUACAUGCACUGGAUACGACAAAAACCAGGGAAAGCUCUGGAGUGGAUUGGGAGAGUUAACUCUGGCUCUGGUAGUGUUGAUUAUGCAGAUACAAUGAAAAAUCACUUCACGUUGAGUGAGGACGUGUCUCAAAGUACACAGUAUCUUGAAGCCAAGAGUCUGAGAGAAGAGGACACUGCUGUUUAUUACUGUGCUCGACAGACACACUGACUCCAUCUGAUGAAGCAGCU